rnacentral:rRNA from 13 species
UCAAGCGACUAAGGGCUUAAGUUGGAUACCUUGGCAUUCAGAAGCGAUGAAGGGCGUGACUACCGACGAAACGCUUCGGGGAGUUGGAAGUAAACUUUGAUCCGGAGGUUCCCGAAUGAGGAAACUCUUUAAACUGCAUGCUCAAUAUAUAGGCAUGUAAGAGCGAACCUGGUGAAUUGAAACAUCUCAGUAACCAGAGGAAAAGAAAGCAAAAGCGAUUCCCACAGUAGCGGCGAGCGAAAAGGGACCAGCCUAAACUACAUAAAAGUAGGGUUGUGGGACAGCAUAAACAAGACUGUAUGGAGUUAGACGAAGUAGUUGGAAUGCUACACCAUAGGGGGUGAAAGUCCUGUAGUUGAAAAUUUCAAAAGCUUAGCUGUAUCCCGAGUAGCAUGGGACACGUGAAACCCCGUGUGAAUCUGCGAGGACCACCUCGUAAGGCUAAAUAUUCCUGAAUGACCGAUAGCGAAACAGUACCGUGAGGGAAAGGUGAAAAGAACCCCGGAAGGGGAGUGAAAUAGAACAUGAAAGCUUAAGCCUACAAGCAGUGGGAGGACGACUAAACGUCUGACCUCGUUCCUGUUGAAGAAUGAGCCGGCGACUUAUAGGUAGUGGCAGGGUAAGGGAGGAAUACUGGA